rnacentral:rRNA from 1 species
UACAGAGGUCCCAAGCGUUGUUCGGAUUCACUGGGCGUAAAGGGUGCGUAGGUGGCGAGGUAAGUCGGAUGUGAAAGCUCGGAGCUCAACUCCGAAAUGGCAUUGGAAACUACCUGGCUUGAGGGGUGGAAGGGGGACUGGAAUUCUCGGUGUAGCAGUGAAAUGCGUAGAUAUCGAGAGGAACACCAGUGGCGAAGGCGAGUCCCUGGACAAUACCUGACACUGAGGCACGAAAGCUAGGGGAGCAAACAGG